CCUACGGGGGGCUGCAGUAACGAAUCUUCCGCAAUGCACGCAAGUGUGACGGAGCGACGCCGCGUGUGGGACGAAGUCCUUCGGGAUGUAAACCACUGUCAGGGGCUACCGGAGCCCCAGAGGAAGGCACGGCUAACUCUGUGCCAGCAGCCGCGGUAAGACAGAGGUGCCGAGCGUUAGGCGGAAUCACUGGGCUUAAAGCGUGUGUAGGCGGACCCGUAAGUACCUUGUGAAAUCCCACGGCUCAACCGUGGAACUGCUGGGUAUACUGCGGGUCUUGAGCAACCUAGGGGCAGACGGAACAAGUGGUGGAGCGGUGAAAUGCGUAGAUAUCACUUGGAACGCCGACGGUGAAAACAGUCUGCUGGGGGUUCUGACGCUGAGACACGAAAGCCAGGGGAGCGAACGGGAUUAGAUACCCUUGUAGUC
rnacentral:rRNA from 1 species